AAACCACAGCUCCUUUGUUGUUGCCAUGGGAACCAUCUAAAGUCUCUCUUUCCUUCAGCUUCACCAUGGAGACAGCCAGCCACUCAGGAGAGAAGUUCCUGAGUGGGAGGCGGAACAGCAGGAAGAGGUGAGAAUGUGCCUCCAGGAACCAGCACUGGAAAUUCCCACUCGGCUGAGGAAUGCACAGGCAUUCCUGGAGCUGCACAGAAGCACAUUGUGGAAGCUGGGAUGUCCCUGGGGAAACAUAGUUUCAACUGGGCAUCAAUGGCAGAUUCUCUGCUUGCAAUCGCAAUGACGCAUCUGUGAUUAGAAGUGUUUCUUCACCCUUGCCAGCCUUGCUUCAUCCCCACAAA
rnacentral:lncRNA from 13 species